rnacentral:rRNA from 1 species
UACGUAGGCGGAAAAUUAAGUCAGUAGUGAAAUCCUACAGCUUAACUGUAGAACUGUUAUUGAUACUGGUUUUCUUGAAUAUAGUUGAGGUAGGCGGAAUGUGUAAUGUAGCGGUGAAAUGCUUAGAUAUUACACAGAACACCGAUUGCGAAGGCAGCUUACUAAGCUAUGAUUGACGCUGAGGUACGAAAGCGUGGGGAGCGAACAGGAUUAGAUACCCUGGUAGUCC